rnacentral:misc_RNA from 1 species
AAAGUCGUAACAAGGUCUCCGUAGGUGAACCUGCGGAGGGAUCAUUACACAAUAUGAAGGCGGGCUGGACAAACCCCCCUAGCUGGGCACUGCUUCACGGCGGUGCGCGGUUUUGGGUGGCCGGCCCUGCUGAACUAUUCACCCGUGUCUUUUGCGUACCUCUUGUUUCCUGGGCGGGCUCGCCCGCCACCAGGACCAACCAUAAACCUUUUUGUAAUAGCAAUCCGCGUCAGUAACAAUGUAAUCAAUUACAACUUUCAACAACGGAUCUCUUGGUUCUG